UUUUUUUUUUGGCAAAAGAAGACCUUACGUCUUCAUUCGCCUCCCGUAGCUUUUUAGGGUUCAUCCUAUUGUUCAAUCUCCAACGACUUCUCUGACUCCAUGAAUGGAGGUUGGAGAGAUUUAGUGGCUCAAACCGAUGUAAUGAUGUGGUUCUCUCUCUCUCUGCUAUAAUUUUGUCUUUAAAUCGAUCAUUGCCUUCUUCUUCUUCUUCUUUCAGUUUAUCGGCAAAGCAUGAAGGGAGACGAUUCGAUCUUAGAUUUAAUGCCUCCAAGGAAGAAGCAUAAUAAAGGACCCAACAAGAAACGGAAGCUGAAGAAACUUGAGGAAGACAGGGAGAAAUAAGAGAUCCUCUCUGCAAAAACUUCCAAGUUGUUAAGACAAGUAUAAAAUAUCUCAGGAUGUGUCUUCGCUUUUCCAAUCUUCAAAAGCCAUAGUCUGAUAAGAAGCUGGAGAAACGCAUGAGACCAAUGCAACUACCUAAAGCUGGUGUUUUGUCUGAUGAACCAGUCAAGGAAAAUGACAACUCUGAUUCAUGCAUGGACGAGCCUACCACACCUGAAAUCCAUAUCCCGGCUCUUCAUACUGAUUCUCACCAACUUAUUCAUCCCAAUGAACUCGAUUCCAAAGUAAUGUUAAUCUCUGCUGAAGAGUUCCUUUAUGAAGCUGGUUUUGGUUCAAAGCAAAUUAAUUCUCGAAGUGGGGUUAUUGGUAUUACACAGCCACGUCGUGUUGCUGUCCUCGCCACUGCCGAGAGGGUGGCUCAUGAGCUUGGUGUUCACCUCAGUCAAGAAGUCGGUUUCCAAGUUAGGUGCGACAAAAAGAUUGGUGAGAACUCAGCUAUAAGUUUUUAAACGAUGGGAUAAAUCCGUGAAGUUAAGUGAUUGCAGGCAGCAUAGAUUUUAAAAGAUCUUUAAGCUACAGAGGCAUUCUUCAUACACCCACCAGUCACCCUCCAACUUAUUUGGCUUCCUAAUUCCAUGUAACAUUUAUGUUCAGUUGAUAUAAUAUAUCCCUCCUGGUAAUAAGAUCUAGGGGAGCAAUGGCCAUGUGGUUGACGGAAUGACGGUGAUCAGCAUGUCAAUACUAUGUAGAUGGUGAUUUUGCGGCGGCUACAGCGUUGUUGGGAGUCAGAAACGCGUGAUGUACAAGCUCGCGCUGGUUCCUCACAAACAGUCUCUUUUCUUCCUCUUCGCAACUCCAACCUUAGGGUGUCUCUCUGUAUGCACUGAUUUAGAUUUAGUCCUAAAGAAUACUUCGCAAGUUCAGAUUUAGUUAUUUACACCUAAAGAGGAUGUUCCGAAGAAACUUCUGGAUAUUUUUCUUUAUAAGCUGCUCCGAAUCAUCAGCCGUUAAGACUUCUCGCAACUGUUUUUAUACAGGUAAAUAUGAAUCUUGGUUUAAGUCUCCCUCAUUAAGUCAGCCGUCACAAUAAACGUAAAGAGAGUAGUAAUCAUAUACACAAAUCUGCAAUGGUUAUCAUCAGCAGCAUCAUUAGUGUCUUACAUGGCAACUUCCAAAGGUUUAUGUUACGUUCAGUAACUAUGUUACGGCUGAGAGAGCAGAGAUUCUGCUCUAUUGUUUGAAACAUUGUUACCUUGGAUUAUCUCAAUUGUAUAUGCGAGAUUCUGUAAAAUAAGGAUGUUAUUAGAGAGUUGUUGAAGAGCCGUUUAAGAGUACUUCAAGGUUUAGCUUUUAACAUAGUUGCUUGGAAUGAUUCUGUUAUCUUUGUAGACAAAAUCAUGAGGCGUAGUGAAUAACCUUUUAUAGGUUUUCCACUUUACUUCUAUAUUUAUUUAUUUUCCUUCUGUUCUCAUCUAUCUCCUGUAAAUUCAUUUCAGAUCAAAAUCAAUGUCAAAUCUAGAACUAAAGCAUUUACUUCA